rnacentral:rRNA from 1 species
GACGAACGCUGGCGGCGUGCUUAACACAUGCAAGUCGAACGAGUGGCGAACGGGUGAGUAACACGUGGGUGAUCUGCCUUGCACUUCGGGAUACGCUUGGGGAACUGGGUCUAAUACCGGGUAGUGCAAGAUGAGCUCGCGGCCUAUCAGCUUGUUGGUGGGGUAAUGGCUACCAAGGCGCGACGGGGAGCCAGCCUGGGAGGGUGUACGGCCACAGUGGUACUGGGAAAGUGGCCAGACGCAUACGGGAGGCAUGGGUGGAGGAUAUUGGGCAAUGGGCGGAAGCAUUGUGGAGGGACGCCGGGUGGGGAAUGAAUGCCUUCGGGUUGGAAAGUCCUUUCGACAGGGACGCGGUACCUGAAUAAGAAGCACCGGCUAACUACGUGCCAGCAGCCGCGGUAAUAC